ACCAUUUCUAAUAAAGUAGAAAUGCGUUGGAAGCAAAAUUAGGCGGUUGGGAGCAAAAUCCGUACAAGACACACCUUGAGGGAAAGAACAAGAGCAAAAAUUAGUAGCCAACGUGAAUCUAAGAUCGGAAUGAUGAUGGUGGUGUUGUGGAAGAUCAUAAAGGAAAUUUAUCAAUAUUUACACAUCCAGGUCGACUAUCAGGAGAAGCAAAAAAGAGGAGUUUAUCCUUGGAAGAAAUCAGGGCUGCCCAAACUUACAUUCUAUUAAAUUGUAAAGAGGUUGAGCCAUUUGUAAGGUCCGAAGCAACCAUAUUGAGAAUGCAUUUUUGGGUAGCCUUGCUCAUGGACCAUUGACAAGCGCGAUAUGUCAUUCAAUGUAUUUUGUUAAUGGAUAUAAAUUUUACACAGAAAGUCAUGGUAGCGCAAGAUCAACAAUGAACAAUGGCGUUUGUAUAUUGGAUCCAAAUGUUGGUGACUACUAUGGUGGGAUACAAAAGAUUAUACAAGUAGAAUACCGUGAAGAACCUUUAAAGAAUACUGUAUUAUUCAAGUGUGAAUACUGAGGCUCGUGAUAUGAGUUCAGCUGAAAUGAUCUCUAAAGCAAUGCCAAACAAAGAUUUAGUUUCUUGGAACACUAUGAUUGUUGGCUAUACUCAUAAGUAAUUGUCUGUAUUGUUUGGACAUUGUUCAAGUUCUUGAUAAGUGCCUUCCAAUACUUAUCUUUUUAUGAGAAGAUUGUUAGUUUAAUGUAGCAGAGCAGUGUUAGUGACUUCUCUGCAUUUUUGUAAAAAAAAACUGUAUGUUCGUCAUUAUCCCUUUACUGUGCGGGUGAAAUGACUCAAAUGCUGUUCUAAAGCUUUUAAUUUGUUGUUGUGCAUUCUCUUUAAUGAUCUCAAUCAGAUAUUCGUAGCACAUAUGGAGU